UAAGAGACUCAGGGGUCACAAAAGAAUAGCAAGACAAUUUCUAGGAAAAGUGAGAAAGAGGUCUCCAAAUAUUUUCUAUCAUUGGACACUAGGUUUAGGGUCAAAAAGGCUAAAUAAUGGGAGCUGUAUAAGCUGAGAGGUUUCCGUACAGUUCUGCGAGAGACUGGUGGGGAAGUUCUGCUGAUCUACUCUCC
rnacentral:autocatalytically_spliced_intron from 1 species